CACAGUCGCCGGUGCGACUACGAAGGGCGAGCUCAGCGGGGACACAACCGAAGGGUCCUGUCGCUGUCACCAGAACUCUGCGUGCACCUAGUUCAUAGAGCCUCUGGAGAAUUUUCCUGUAUUCGGAGAUCAGAUAUCUCACGUAGUCGGGCAAAGAGAACUCGCGUGAUCUGGCAGAGUAGGGCACCAAGAAGUAAUUGUUAACGAAAUCAUUACCUCCGAGAGUGAGGGUAAGCUCGUUGAUCGGCCCAGAACAGACUCAAUCACUAGUG
rnacentral:misc_RNA from 1 species